UGUGACCGGCAGGUGCAUCCUCACAGCUGGAGCUCGUCAAGCCCAAUCAGGAGGAGGGGAUUCCCAGAGGCAGAUGGCAGAUUGUUUUGCUCCAUGAGUGGAAACCAGUUUUCCCAUUUACAUUCUGUGCUUGGAUUCCAGUGCUCUGCCUCCUUGCUCUCAGAGUUAAUUGGAGAGCUCACCUCAAGAGUCACUCUGUGAAUCUCCUCACAGCUCCUCUUGCUGCUCCCCUGUUUCAUGCUGUCAGGGCCCCUCAACUACAAUCCGCCAAUACUCACCUGUCUCUCCACCCUUCACAGAUCCACUUGGAAGAAAGAACAAAGAAAUCAUCACCAUCAAGCUCAAUCACCACAUGUGAAUCUCAGCCUCUGUUCCCUAGUGCUUUAGACGCUCCACUAUCACCCUGGUUCACAAGAAAUGCACCACCAUAGGAUUAAAUGAAUACAGGCCUGUUGCUGUGACGUCUGUGGUCAUAAAAUCCUUUGAGUGACUGGUGUUGAAGCAUCUGAAGGACAUAACAGGUCCCCUGCUGGACCCCUGUAGUUUGCUUACCAGAAGAACAGGUCAGAAGAUGAUUCAGUCAAUUUGGGACUACCAGCACUGCCAUCAUUCAGUCUGUUAUGUGUUUUUUUUAAGUGUAUUUUAGCUCAUCCACAAAACAACACAGGUUCAGACUGCAAUGAACAAUUAGAUUUGCAGAGAGGACCACCGAGGCCGACCUUCGCCUUAUCCAAGACUUGUGCUGGUCUAGGGUCAGGAAAAGAGCAACAUGUUACCAGUGGGGUCGUAAGGUGCUGUUUUUUCUUAAUAUGCAAAUUUCAGUGUGCAGGUGCCUAUCCGUGAUUGAUGGAUCCAGAAGACCGAUGAACGUCGAUUGGUUACCUGGAUGGAGAUGACGCAUAAAAAGACACUGCUGCGGUGCCCAUCAUUCAUCAUCUGCUUAUCCCAACCAGCCACACCUUUGUCUGUGCACCUGUGUAUCCAUGUGAAUACUUUAAAUCUUUGUUGUAUUGGAGUGAGCUGCCAUUUUAGUUUGUUCUCUGUUUUCUCCCAUUUAUGUUAGUUUGGGAGGUAAUUGUCAUGUUUUUUUUAAAUAUUAAUUAGGUCAGUUUGGGUUAAUAUUUUAGAUUAGUUUCAUUUUGUUUGUUGUGAAGCUCACCCGGAAGUUAAACCCAGCUCCUUCUCUUUAUGUAAAAAACCUGAAACAAAAUAACACAUUGUAAAUAAAUCAUUUCAUACUUUG